ACCUGGCUGGCUUAGUUGGUAGAGCACGUGACUCUUGAUCUUGGGGUUAUAAGUUCGAGCCUUAUGCUGGGUG
rnacentral:tRNA from 1 species